rnacentral:rRNA from 1 species
CCUACGGGAGGCAGCAGUCGAGAAUCAUUCACAAUGGGGGAAACCCUGAUGCUGCGACGCCGCGUGGGGGAAUGAAGGUCUUCGGAUUGUAAACCCCUGUCAUGUGGGAGCAAAUUAAAAAGAUAGUACCACAAGAGGAAGAGCCGGCUAACUCUGUGCCAGCAGCCGCGGUAAUACAGAGGUCUCAAGCGUUGAUCGGAAUCACUGGGCGUAAAGCGUGCGUAGGCUGUUUCGUAAGUCGUGUGUGAAAGGCGCGGGCUCAACCCGCGGACGGCACAUGAUACUGCGAGACUAGAGUAAGGGAGGGGGAAGCGGAAUUCUCGGUGUAGCAGUGAAAUGCGUAGAUAUCGAGAGGAACACUCGUGGCGAAGGCGGGUUCCUGGACAUUAACUGACGCUGAGGCACGAAGGCGAGGGGAGCGAAAGGGAUUAGAUACCCUUGUAGUC